AGCACGAUUCAUCGCCCUCUCUCCCCGAACCCUAGGUUCGCCUAGGGUUCGUACUGGCUCCGCCGCCCGACAGCUGGUUGCCCGUACCCUUCGAUCUGCAAAUCCCACAAAUUCGGCUGCAAAUGUCCACCUUCUCUCUCCCCCCCCUCUCUCCCCUCUCAAACCCUAUGUUCGACUAGGGUUCGUACUCUCUCUGCCGCGCUACCGCCGCUUGCCCAUAUCCGCCGCGGAUCCGGCCUCUCUCUCUCUCUUUCUCUCUCUCCCCCUUGAUUCCUAUGUUUGCCUAGGGUUCGUACACUCCCCGCCGCGCUACCGCCGUUUGCCCAUAUCUGUCGAGGAUCCGGACAUUUAAUACCGCCGCGGAACGUACGCCUCUCUAUAGUCGCCCCCCCCCCGCGGGCAUGGCCGAGGCGUUUUGUAUCCUCAGCGAUCUCAAGCUCCCCAUGUUGGGCUAUGCGAUGGACAUCAGGGUCUUCGAGUUCUCCCCUGUUUGGAAGAUUUUUACCUUCCUUCUCGGCGGCUAAUCCUAAGGUGGUGGUAAUUUAUGUGCGCAUUACUUUUUUGUGACAUAAGGUAUUAUCUGAGUUGAUCUAAAGAGUGAUCUGUGUAUACUUGAUGUGAAAUUUGCGUAAGAAGAGGCAAAACAGUCUUGCUCUGAAGUUUGACAGUUCAAAUGUUGUUUUGAUCUCUCCUAAAAGUUUAGAUAUGGAUCUUUGGUUCUAGAAAAAGCCGUUGUUACCUUUUUUCCCUGUUGUUUGUGAUGCUGGGAGGUUAUUUAA